CAUGAAAGAGGGGGACUGAUAGCGCAAAUCCUUCAUUCAGAGCCAAAACGCGCAGACCCUCCCUACGGGUCGGGUCAAUCGCGGGUCCUUCCCCCACAAUAUGGCGCCAUUUUGUUUUUAUUACUAAAACCAACUUUUGUGUUUGAAAAACAUUUUAACCUUUAUUUUUUUAAAACAAAACCCUAAACGCUUUAUACUAUAGCCCCUAAAAGCUUUGCAAGUCCGGCCACUGUCGCUCCACCAUUAAACUUGGUGUUCGGUCAUGCGCAAAGUUGAGU
rnacentral:lncRNA from 1 species